UCCCUAUGGGGUGCAGCAGGCGCGAAAACUUUACAAUGCGGGAAACCGCGAUAAGGGAAUACUGAGUGCCAGCAUCUUAUGUUGGCUGUCCACCUGUGUAAACAGCAGGUGUUAGCAAGGGCCGGGCAAGACCGGUGCCAGCCGCCGCGGUAACACCGGCGGCCCGAGUGGUGACCACUAUUAUUGGGUCUAAAGGGUCCGUAGCCGGUUCGAUCAGUCUUCCGGGAAGUCUGACAGCUCAACUGUUAGGCUUCCGGGGGAUACUGUCGGACUUGGGACCGGGAGAGGUAAGAGGUACUACAGGGGUAGGAGUGAAAUCUUGUAAUCCUUGUGGGACCACCAGUGGCGAAGGCGUCUUACCAGAACGGGUCCGACGGUGAGGGACGAAAGCUGGGGGCACGAACCGGAUUAGAUACCCGGGUAGUCCCAGCCGUAAACGAUGCUCGCUAGGUGUCUGGGACGGUGCGACCGUUUCAGGUGCCGCAGGGAAGCCGUGAAGCGAGCCACCUGGGAAGUACGGCCGCAAGGCUGAAACUUAAAGGAAUUGGCGGGGGAGCACUACAACGGGUGGAGCCUGCGGUUUAAUUGGAUUCAACGCCGGAA
rnacentral:rRNA from 1 species